UACGUAGGGGGCAAGCGUUGUCCGGAAUCAUUGGGCGUAAAGAGCGUGUAGGCGGUCCGGUAAGUCCGUUGUGAAAGUCAGGGGCUCAACCCUUGAAUGCCGGACGGAUACUGAUCGGGCUAGAGUCCGGAAGAGGCGAGUGGAAUUCCCGGUGUAGCGGUGAAAUGCGCAGAUAUACGGGAGGAACACCUAUGGCGGAAGGCAGCUCGCUGGGACGGUACUGACGCUGAGACGCGAAAGCGUGGGAGCAACAGG
rnacentral:rRNA from 1 species